rnacentral:rRNA from 1 species
UUUGGAAUUUUCCGCAAUGGGCGAAAGCCUGACGGAGCGACACCGCGUGGGGGAUGAAGGCCUUCGGGUCGUAAACCCCUGUCAGGAGGGACGAACGAGUUAGGCUAAUAGCCGAAGCUCUUGACUGUACCUCCAGAGGAAGCCACGGCUAACUCUGUGCCAGCAGCCGCGGUAAUACAGAGGUGGCAAGCGUUAUCCGGAUUUACUGGGUGUAAAGGGCUGGUAGGCGGUGAUGCAAGUCCUGCGUGAAAUGCUGAGGCUCAACCUCAGCGCUGCGCUGGAAACUGCGUCACUCGAGUGUGGGAGAGGAAGGCGGAAUUUCCAGUGUAGCGGUGAAAUGCGUAGAUACUGGAAGGAACACCAGCGGCGAAGGCGGCCUUCUGGACCAACACUGACGCUGAGCAGCGAAAGCUAGGGGAGCAAACGGG